rnacentral:rRNA from 1 species
CCUACGGGCGGCUGCAGUGGGGAAUAUUGGACAAUGGGGGGAACCCUGAUCCAGCCAUGCCGCGUGUGUGAAGAAGGCCCUCGGGUUGUAAAGCACUUUCAGUGAGGAAGAACGCCUGGUGGUUAAUACCCAUCAGGAAAGACAUCACUCACAGAAGAAGCACCGGCUAACUCCGUGCCAGCAGCCGCGGUAAUACGGAGGGUGCGAGCGUUAAUCGGAAUUACUGGGCGUAAAGCGCGCGUAGGUGGCUUGAUAAGCCGGUUGUGAAAGCCCCGGGCUCAACCUGGGAACGGCAUCCGGAACUGUCAAGCUAGAGUGCAGGAGAGGAAGGUAGAAUUCCCGGGGUAGCGGUGAAAUGCGUAGAGAUCGGGAGGAAUACCAGUGGCGAAGGCGGCCUUCUGGACUGACACUGACACUGAGGUGCGAAAGCGUGGGUAGCAAACAGGAUUAGAUACCCUGGUAGUC